ACGGAGGGGGCUAGCGUUGUUCGGAAUUACUGGGCGUAAAGCGCACGUAGGCGGCUUUGUAAGUUAGAGGUGAAAGCCCAGGGCUCAACCUUGGAAUUGCCUUUGAUACUGGCUAUCUUGAGUACGGAAGAGGUAUGUGGAACUCCGAGUGUAGAGGUGAAAUUCGUAGAUAUUCGGAAGAACACCAGUGGCGAAGGCGACAUACUGGUCCGUUACUGACGCUGAGGCUCGAAAGCGUGGGGAGCAAACGGGA
rnacentral:rRNA from 1 species